UACGAAGGGUGCAAGCGUUAAUCGGAAUUACUGGGCGUAAAGCGUGCGUAGGUGGUUCGUUAAGUCUGAUGUGAAAGCCCUGGGCUCAACCUGGGAAUGGCAUUGGAUACUGGCGGGCUAGAGUGCGGUAGAGGAUGGCGGAAUUCCCGGUGUAGCAGUGAAAUGCGUAGAGAUCGGGAGGAACAUCCGUGGCGAAGGCGGCCAUCUGGACCAGCACUGACACUGAGGCACGAAAGCGUGGGGAGCAAACAGG
rnacentral:rRNA from 1 species